rnacentral:rRNA from 1 species
GAUGAACGCUGGCGGCGUGCCUAAUACAUGCCAGUCGAGCGAACAGACGAGGAGCUUGCUCCUCUGACGUUAGCGGCGGACGGGUGAGUAACACGUGGAUAACCUACCUAUAAGACUGGGAUAACUUCGGGAAACCGGAGCUAAUACCGGAUAAUAUAUUGAACCGCAUGGUUCAAUAGUGAAAGACGGUUUUGCUGUCACUUAUAGAUGGAUCCGUGUCGCAUUAGCUAGUUGGUAAGGUAACGGCUUACCAAGGCAACGAUGCGUAGCCGACCUGAGAGGGUGAUCGGCCACACUGGAACUGAGACACGGUCCAGACUCCUACGGGAGGCAGCAGUAGGGAAUCUUCCGCAAUGGGCGAAAGCUUGACGGAGCAACGCCGCGUGAGUGAUGAAGGUCUUCGGAUCGUAAAACUCUGUUAUUAGGGAAGAACAAAUGUGUAAGUAACUAUGCACGUCUUGACGGUACCUAAUCAGAAAGCCACGGCUAACUACGUG